UGGGUUGCAUAAGGCCUCUCAGGGGUAU
rnacentral:piRNA from 1 species